rnacentral:tRNA from 1 species
GGUGGGGUAGCCAAGUGGUUGUACGGCGCCGCUUUCGAAAAGCGGUGUCCCAAAAGGACCGUGGGUUCGAAUCCCACCCCCACCG